rnacentral:rRNA from 1 species
UUGAACGCUGGCGGCAUGCCUUACACAUGCAAGUCGAACGGCAGCACGGGUGCUUGCACCUGGUGGCGAGUGGCGAACGGGUGAGUAAUACAUCGGAACAUGUCCUGUAGUGGGGGAUAGCCCGGCGAAAGCCGGAUUAAUACCGCAUACGAUCUACGGAUGAAAGCGGGGGACCUUCGGGCCUCGCGCUAUAGGGUUGGCCGAUGGCUGAUUAGCUAGUUGGUGGGGUAAAGGCCUACCAAGGCGACGAUCAGUAGCUGGUCUGAGAGGACGACCAGCCACACUGGGACUGAGACACGGCCCAGACUCCUACGGGAGGCAGCAGUGGGGAAUUUUGGACAAUGGGCGAAAGCCUGAUCCAGCAAUGCCGCGUGUGUGAAGAAGGCCUUCGGGUUGUAAAGCACUUUUGUCCGGAAAGAAAUCCUUGGCUCUAAUACAGUCGGGGGAUGACGGUACCGGAAGAAUAAGCACCGGCUAACUACGUGCCAGCAGCCGCGGUAAUACGUAGGGUGCGAGCGUUAAUCGGAAUUACUGGGCGUAAAGCGUGCGCAGGCGGUUUGCUAAGACCGAUGUGAAAUCCCCGGGCUCAACCUGGGAACUGCAUUGGUGACUGGCAGGCUAGAGUAUGGCAGAGGGGGGUAGAAUUCCACGUGUAGCAGUGAAAUGCGUAGAGAUGUGGAGGAAUACCGAUGGCGAAGGCAGCCCCCUGGGCCAAUACUGACGCUCAUGCACGAAAGCGUGGGGGAGCAAACAGGAUUAGAUACCCUGGUAGUCCACGCCCUAAACGAUGUCAACUAGUUGUUGGGGAUUCAUUUCCUUAGUAACGUAGCUAACGCGUGAAGUUGACCGCCUGGGGAGUACGGUCGCAAGAUUAAAACUCAAAGGAAUUGACGGGGACCCGCACAAGCGGUGGAUGAUGUGGAUUAAUUCGAUGCAACGCGAAAAACCUUACCUACCCUUGACAUGGUCGGAAUCCUGCUGAGAGGUGGGAGUGCCCGAAAGAGAACCGGCGCACAGGUGCUGCAUGGCUGUCGUCAGCUCGUGUCGUGAGAUGUUGGGUUAAGUCCCGCAACGAGCGCAACCCUUGUCCUUAGUUGCUACGCAAGAGCACUCUAAGGAGACUGCCGGUGACAAACCGGAGGAAGGUGGGGAUGACGUCAAGUCCUCAUGGCCCUUAUGGGUAGGGCUUCACACGUCAUACAAUGGUCGGAACAGAGGGUUGCCAACCCGCGAGGGGGAGCUAAUCCCAGAAAACCGAUCGUAGUCCGGAUUGCACUCUGCAACUCGAGUGCAUGAAGCUGGAAUCGCUAGUAAUCGCGGAUCAGCAUGCCGCGGUGAAUACGUUCCCGGGUCUUGUACUCACCGCC